rnacentral:rRNA from 1 species
GACGAACGCUGGCGGCGUGCUUAACACAUGCAAGUCGAGCGGUAAGGCCCUUUCGGGGGUACACGAGCGGCGAACGGGUGAGUAACACGUGGGUGACCUGCCCUUAGCUCUGGGAUAAGCCUGGGAAACUGGGUCUAAUACCGGAUAUGACUCCAUGACGCAUGUUGUGGGGUGGAAAGCCUUGUGCGGCUAGGGGAUGGGCCCGCGGCCUAUCAGCUUGUUGGUGGGGUGANGGCCUACCAAGGCGACGACGGGUAGCCGGCCUGAGAGGGCGACCGGCCACACUGGGACUGAGACACGGCCCAGACUCCUACGGGAGGCAGCAGUGGGGAAUCUUGCGCAAUGGGCGAAAGCCUGACGCAGCGACGCCGCGUGGGGAUGACGGCCUGG